rnacentral:rRNA from 1 species
AACUACGAAUACCGAAGAAUGUUAUCACGGGAGACACACGGCGGGUGCUAACGUCCGUCGUGAAGAGGGAAACAACCCAGACCGCCAGCUAAGGUCCCAAAGUCAUGGUUAAGUGGGAAACGAUGUGGGAAGGCACAGACAGCCAGGAUGUUGGCUUAGAAGCAGCCAUCAUUUAAAGAAAGCGUAAUAGCUCACUGGUCGAGUCGGCCUGCGCGGAAGAUGUAACGGGGCUAAACCAUGCACCGAAGCUGCGGCAGCGACACUAUGUGUUGUUGGGUAGGGGAGCGUUCUGUAAGCCUGCGAAGGUGUGCUGUGAGGCAUGCUGGAGGUAUCAGAAGUGCGAAUGCUGACAUAAGUAACGAUAAAGC